GGGAGGAUGGCCGAGUGGUUAUGGCGCUAGUUUCAGGCUUGGUUCAAAGCUAUCGCUGAAGAUCAUCAAAUUACUAGUUUCUUUGAUUCGUGGGUUCGAGUCCCACUCCUCUCA